UACGGAGGGGGCUAGCGUUGUUCGGAUUUACUGGGCGUAAGGGCGCGCAGGCGGUCAUUUUUGUCGAGUGUGAAAGCCCCGGGCUUAACCUGGGAACUGCGCUCGAAACGGGAUGACUAGAGAUCGGGAGAGGAGAGUGGAAUUCCCAGUGUAGAGGUGAAAUUCGUAGAUAUUGGGAAGAACACCGGUGGCGAAGGCGGCUCUCUGGACCGAUACUGACGCUGAGGCGCGAAAGCGUGGGGAGCAAACAGG
rnacentral:rRNA from 1 species